CAGCGCCUGCGCGAGGCGGGCGUACCGUGUGUCGCGGUGAGCGUCGGUUCCACGCCCACGGCGCUGGC
rnacentral:tRNA from 1 species